rnacentral:rRNA from 1 species
GUAAGCUACUAAGAGCGAAUGGUGGAUGCCUUGACUGGUAAAGGCGAUGAAGGACGUACUAGACUGCGAUAAGCUACGGGGAGCUGUCAAGAAGCUUUGAUCCGUAGAUUUCCGAAUGGGGCAACCCAAUGUAUAGAGAUAUACAUUACCUAUAUAGGAGCGAACGAGGGGAAUUGAAACAUCUUAGUACCCUCAGGAAAAGAAAUCAAUAGAGAUUGCGUCAGUAGCGGCGAGCGAAAGCGCAAGAGGGCAAACCCAGUGCUUGCACUGGGGGUUGUAGGACUGCAAUGUGCAAGAGGUGAGUUUAGCAGAACAUUCUGGAAAGUAUAGCCAUAGAGGGUGAUAGUCCCGUAUGCGAAAAACAAACCUUAGCUAGCAGUAUCCUGAGUAGGGCGGGACACGAGAAAUCCUGUCUGAAGCUGGGUCGACCACGAUCCAACCCUAAAUACUAAUACCAGAUCGAUAGUGCACAAGUACCGUGAGGGAAAGGUGAAAAGAACUGAGGUGAUCAGAGUGAAAUAGAACCUGAAACCAUUUGCUUACAAUCAUUCAGAGCACUAUGUAGCAAUACAGUGUGAUGGACUGCCUUUUGCAUAAUGAGCCUGCGAGUUGUGGUGUCUGGCAAGGUUAAGCAAACGCGAAGCCGUAGCGAAAGCGAGUCUGAAUAGGGCGCUUAGUCAGAUGCUGCAGACCCGAAACGAAGUGAUCUAUCCAUGAGCAAGUUGAAGCUAGUGUAAGAACUAGUGGAGGACUGAACCCAUAGGCGUUGAAAAGCCCCGGGAUGACUUGUGGAUAGGGGUGAAAGGCCAAUCAAACUUCGUGAUAGCUGGUUCUCUCCGAAAUAUAUUUAGGUAUAGCGUUGUGUCGUAAUAUAAGGGGGUAGAGCACUGAAUGGGCUAGGGCAUACACCAAUGUACCAAACCCUAUCAAACUCCGAAUACCUUAUAUGUAAUCACAGCAGUCAGGCGGCGAGUGAUAAAAUCCGUCGUCAAGAGGGAAACAACCCAGACUACCAGCUAAGGUCCCUAAAUCUUACUUAAGUGGAAAACGAUGUGAAGUUACUUAAACAACCAGGAGGUUGGCUUAGAAGCAGCCAUCCUUUAAAGAAAGCGUAAUAGCUCACUGGUCUAGUGAUUUUGCGCGGAAAAUAUAACGGGGCUAAAGUAAGUACCGAAGCUGUAGACUUGACUUUGUCAAGUGGUAGGAGAGCGUUCUAUUUGCGUCGAAGGUAUACCGGUAAGGAGUGCUGGAGCGAAUAGAAGUGAGCAUGCAGGCAUGAGUAGCGAUAAUUAAUGUGAGAAUCAUUAACGCCGUAAACCCAAGGUUUCCUACGCGAUGCUCGUCAUCGUAGGGUUAGUCGGGUCCUAAGUCGAGUCCGAAAGGGGUAGACGAUGGCAAAUUGGUUAAUAUUCCAAUACCAACAUUAGUGUGCGAUGGAAGGACGCUUAGGGCUAAGGGGGCUAGCGGAUGGAAGUGCUAGUCUAAGGUCGUAGGUGCUUAUACAGGCAAAUCCGUAUAAGAAUACACCGAGAACUGAAAGGCUUUUUGAAGUCUUCGGAUGGAUAGAAGAACCCCUGAUGCCGUCGAGCCAAGAAAAGUUUCUAAGUUUAGCUAAUGUUGCCCGUACCGUAAACCGACACAGGUGGGUGGGAUGAGUAUUCUAAGGCGCGUGGAAGAACUCUCUUUAAGGAACUCUGCAAAAUAGCACCGUAUCUUCGGUAUAAGGUGUGGUUCGCUUCGUAUUAGGAUUUACUCCGAAAGCGAAGAAACUUACAACAAAGAGUCCCUCCCGACUGUUUACCAAAAACACAGCACUCUGCUAACUCGUAAGAGGAUGUAUAGGGUGUGACGCCUGCCCGGUGCUCGAAGGUUAAUUGAUGGGGUUAGCAUUAGCGAAGCUCUUGAUCGAAGCCCGAGUAAACGGCGGCCGUAACUAUAACGGUCCUAAGGUAGCGAAAUUCCUUGUCGGUUAAAUACCGACCUGCAUGAAUGGCGUAACGAGAUGGGAGCUGUCUCAAAGAGGGAUCCAGUGAAAUUGUAGUGGAGGUGAAAAUUCCUCCUACCCGCGGCAAGACGGAAAGACCCCGUGGACCUUUACUACAGCUUGACACUGCUAUUUGGAUAAGAAUGUGCAGGAUAGGUGGGAGGCUUUGAGUAUAUGACGCCAGUUGUAUAUGAGCCAUUGUUGAGAUACCACUCUUUCUUAUUUGGGUAGCUAACCAGCUUGAGUUAUCCUCAAGUGGGACAAUGUCUGGUGGGUAGUUUGACUGGGGCGGUCGCCUCCCAAAUAAUAACGGAGGCUUACAAAGGUUGGCUCAGAACGGUUGGAAAUCGUUCGUAGAGUAUAAAGGUAUAAGCCAGCUUAACUGCAAGACAUACAAGUCAAGCAGAGACGAAAGUCGGUCUUAGUGAUCCGGUGGUUCUGUGUGGAAGGGCCAUCGCUCAAAGGAUAAAAGGUACCCCGGGGAUAACAGGCUGAUCUCCCCCAAGAGCUCACAUCGACGGGGAGGUUUGGCACCUCGAUGUCGGCUCAUCGCAUCCUGGGGCUGGAGCAGGUCCCAAGGGUAUGGCUG